rnacentral:rRNA from 1 species
CAAGACGGAAAGACCCCGUGAACCUUUACUAUAGCUUGACACUGAACAUUGAGCCUUGAUGUGUAGGAUAGGUGGGAGGCUUUGAAGCGUGGACGCCAGUCUGCGUGGAGCCGACCUUGAAAUACCACCCUUUAAUGUUUGAUGUUCUAACGUGGACCCGUGAUCCGGGUUGCGGACAGUGUCUGGUGGGUAGUUUGACUGGGGCGGUCUCCUCCUAAAGAGUAACGGAGGAGCACGAAGGUUGGCUAAUCCUGGUCGGACAUCAGGAGGUUAGUGCAAUGGCAUAAGCCAGCUUGACUGCGAGCGUGACGGCGCGAGCAGGUGCGAAAGCAGGUCAUAGUGAUCCGGUGGUUCUGAAUGGAAGGGCCAUCGCUCAACGGAUAAAAGGUACUCCGGGGAUAACAGGCUGAUACCGCCCAAGAGUUCAUAUCGACGGCGGUGUUUGGCACCUCGAUGUCGGCUCAUCACAUCCUGGGGCUGAAGUAGGUCCCAAGGGUAUGGCUGUUCGCCAUUUAAAGUGGUACGCGAGCUGGGUUUAGAACGUCGUGAGACAGUUCGGUCCCUAUCUGCCGUGGGCGCUGGAGAACUGAGGGGGGCUGCUCCUAGUACGAGAGGACCGGAGUGGACGCAUCACUGGUGUUCGGGUUGUCAUGCCAAUGGCACUGCCCGGUAGCUAAAUGCGGAAGAGAUAAGUGCUGAAAGCAUCUAAGCACGAAACUUGCCCCGAG